GCACUAUCGAUUACGAGGUGAUGAUUUUUUGUCUAUCUUGGUUUGUUUGGAAUCCACAUUUCAAAUGGUGUCUGAAUCAAUCUGGUAAAAAAAUGGAGAAUACUAUAAUAACAAUGCGUAGAAAUCGGUGGCUUCAAGGUCAAUAUACCUGGAUCAUGUUAAUGUUGUACAUUUCUGUAGAGCUUAUUAUGAGAGUAUCUGAUGCAGUUCACGGAUGGUGGCAAAGAGGUGGAAUUAAGAUUGAGGUUGAAGACAGGUGAGACACUUUCUCCAAAGGAUAUAUCUGUAGAUGCAGAUGGAACAUCGUUAGCCGUUAAAGAAAAGCGGAACGGAUUGCUGAUUACACUUCUAGAGACUAACCAACUCUUUGAGAAGAUUAUGCCCUCUGAAACAAUAUGGUUAGCCACGUAAAUCUUUGCAUUGAG
rnacentral:lncRNA from 1 species